CAGCUAUUCGACAGCCUUCUAUAUAAAUCAUCGGAGCUUCGAGGAUCAGGUAAGCCAAUCAAUCUUUCUCAGAAAACUCAUUGCUGCUUCAUUAUUUUCUAAAUUUGACUUGAGCAUCGAAGGAUCUUUGUCGGAGCCACAACCUCCAAUUUGGAUUUAUUUUGCAGGCUACUCCAGUAACCCUGCGUGAGGCUCAGCCGCCCUCUCUCCGAUCUCGAUUAAUUUCAGUAGCAAUAGAUAGAGGAAGGGCCAACACUCGCAUCAUGGCUCCUAGACGAAUAUCUUUCCGACUCUCCAACACCGUCCUGCCAGGCAGUAGGUCAGGCCAAUAACCAAGUGUAGCCAACGGCAUUAGAGGUUUUGCCACCAACCAAGUCGGCCCAGCUAGCAUCAAUCAUGACUAAUC
rnacentral:lncRNA from 1 species